rnacentral:lncRNA from 1 species
CGUCCAGACCUACCUCCUGUACAAUAUGAACCUGUGCUUUGCAGCAGGCCAACUUGUAAAGCUGUUCUCAACCCACUUUGUCAGGUUGAUUAUCGAGCAAAACUUUGGGCCUGUAAUUUCUGUUUUCAAAGAAAUCAGUUUCCUCCAGCUUAUGGAGGCAUAUCUGAGGUGAAUCAACCUGCCGAAUUGAUGCCCCAGUUUUCUACAAUUGAGUACGUGAUACAGGUAAUUUCUUUGUUGUGCAUUUAAUGAGCAAUGUUAAAUACUGAAUUUCUCUUGAAAUCCUUUGUCUUCCAUGUCUCUUACCUGGGCAGGGGACUUAAAGCUGUGAGGGCAGCAGGAUCCUAACCUUUAGGUUUGAUGUGUGUGCAUCUACUGGCAUUGUUUUCAAGUCCUGACAUUAUAGAAGGCUACUAAAAAGGUAGAACUGAUUAAAUUCCAAACCUGUUCUCUGUAGCCUUCUUCAUCUCAGU